ACGCUGGCGGCGUGCCUAAUACAUGCAAGUAGAACGCUGAAGGAGGAGCUUGCUUCUCUGGAUGAGUUGCGAACGGGUGAGUAACGCGUAGGUAACCUGCCUGGUAGCGGGGGAUAACUAUUGGAAACGAUAGCUAAUACCGCAUAACAGUAGAUGUUGCAUGACAUUUGCUUAAAAGGUGCAAUUGCAUCACUACCAGAUGGACCUGCGUUGUAUUAGCUAGUUGGUGGGGUAACGGCUCACCAAGGCGACGAUACAUAGCCGACCUGAGAGGGUGAUCGGCCACACUGGGACUGUGACACGGCCCAGACUCCUACGGGAGGCAGCAGUAGGGAAUCUUCGGCAAUGGACGGAAGUCUGACCGAGCAACGCCGCGUGAGUGAAGAAGGUUUUCGGAUCGUAAAGCUCUGUUGUAAGAGAAGAACAGGUGUGAGAGUGGAAAGUUCACACUGUGACGGUAUCUUACCAGAAAGGGACGGCUAACUACGUGCCAGCAGCCGCGGUAAUACGUAGGUCCCGAGCGUUGUCCGGAUUUAUUGGGCGUAAAGCGAGCGCAGGCGGUUAGAUAAGUCUGAAGUUAAAGGCUGUGGCUUAACCAUAGUACGCUUUGGAAACUGUUUAACUUGAGUGCAAGAGGGGAGAGUGGAAUUCCAUGUGUAGCGGUGAAAUGCGUAGAUAUAUGGAGGAACACCGGUGGCGAAAGCGGCUCUCUGGCUUGUAACUGACGCUGAGGCUCGAAAGCGUGGGGAGCAAACAGGAUUAGAUACCCCUGGUAGUCCACGCCGUAAACGAUGAGUGCUAGGUGUUAGACCCUUUCCGGGGUUUAGUGCCGCAGCUAACGCAUUAAGCACUCCGCCUGGGGAGUACGACCGCAAGGUUGAAACUCAAAGGAAUUGACG
rnacentral:rRNA from 1 species